rnacentral:rRNA from 1 species
UACGUAGGGGGCAAGCGUUGUCCGGAUUUAUUGGGCGUAAAGAGCGUGUAGGCGGCCAUGUAGGUCCGUUGUGAAAACUCGAGGCUCAACCUCGAGACGCCGAUGGAAACCAUGUGGCUAGAGUCCGGAAGAGGAGAGUGGAAUUCCUGGUGUAGCGGUGAAAUGCGCAGAGUAUCAGGAAGAACACCCGUGGCUAAGGCGGCUCUCUAGUACGGUACUGACGCUGAGACGCGAAAGCGUGGGGAGCAAACAGG